CAAAGGCUCCGGAGGAAGCCACGGCUAACUCUGUGCCAGCAGCCGCGGUAAUACAGAGGCGGCAAGCGUUGUUCGGAAUUAUUGGGCGUAAAGAGCACGUAGGCGGCUAUGUAAGUCUGUUGUGAAAGCCUUCCGCUCAACGGAAGAACUGCAGCAGAUACUGCAUGGCUAGAGUGCGGGAGGGGAGAGUGGAACUUCUGGUGGAGCGGUGAAAUGCGUAGAUAUCAGAAGGAACGCCGGCGGCGAAAGCGACUCUCUGGCCCGUAACUGACGCUGAGUGUGCGAAAGCUAGGGGAGCAAACGGGAUUAGAUACCCCGGUAGUCCUAGCCGUAAA
rnacentral:rRNA from 1 species